rnacentral:rRNA from 1 species
AAACUAACAAGGAUUCCCCUAGUAACGGCGAGUGAAGCGGGAAGAGCUCAAAUUUGAAAUCUGGUGGCCUCAGGUCAUCCGAGUUGUAAUCUAUAGAAGUGUUUUCCGUGCUGGCUCAUGUACAAGUCCCUUGGAACAGGGCGUCAUAGAGGGUAAGAAUCCCGUCCUUGACAUGAACUACCAGUGCUCUGUGAUACAUUUUCAACGAGUCGAGUUGUUUGGGAAUGCAGCUCAAAAUGGGUGGUAAAUUCCAUCUAAAGCUAAAUAUUGGCGAGAGACCGAUAGCGAACAAGUACCGUGAGGGAAAGAUGAAAAGCACUUUGGAAAGAGAGUUAAACAGUAUGUGAAAUUGUUGAAAGGGAAACGAUUGAAGUCAGUCGUGCUCUUUGGAUUCAGCCGGUUCUGCUGGUGUACUUCCUUUGAGUGGGGUCAACAUCAGUUUUGAUCGCUGGAUAAAGGCUGGAGGAACGUAGUACCCUCGGGUAAACUUAUAGCCUCCUGUCACAUACAGUGGUUGGGACUGAGGAACGCAGCACGCCUUUAUGGCCGGGAUUCGUCCACGUACGUGCUUAGGAUGUUGACAUAAUGGCUUUAAACGAC